rnacentral:rRNA from 1 species
UACGGAGGGAGCUAGCGUUGUUCGGAAAUACUGGGCGUAAAGCGCACGUAGGCGGCGCAGCAAGUCAGGGGUGAAAUCCCGGGGCUCAACCCCGGAACUGCCCUUGAAACUGCAGUGCUAGAAUUCUGGAGAGGCGAGUGGAAUUCCGAGUGUAGAGGUGAAAUUCGUAGAUAUCGGGAGGAACACCAGUGGCGAAGGCGGGCACCUGGGCUAACACUGACGCUGAUGCGCGAAAGCUAGGGGAGCAAACAGG